rnacentral:rRNA from 1 species
CCUACGGGAGGCAGCAGUGGGGAAUAUUGGACAAUGGGCGAAAGCCUGAUCCAGCAAUGCCGCGUGAGUGAUGAAGGCCUUCGGGUCGUAAAGCUCUUUUACCAGGGAUGAUAAUGACAGUACCUGGAGAAUAAGCUCCGGCUAACUCCGUGCCAGCAGCCGCGGUAAUACGGAGGGAGCUAGCGUUGUUCGGAAUUACUGGGCGUAAAGAGUACGUAGGCGGUUAUUCAAGUCAGAGGUGAAAGCCCGGGGCUCAACCCCGGAACUGCCUUUGAAACUAGAUAACUAGAGUCUUGGAGAGGUUAGUGGAAUUCCGAGUGUAGAGGUGAAAUUCGUAGAUAUUCGGAAGAACACCAGUGGCGAAGGCGACUAACUGGACAAGUACUGACGCUGAGGUACGAAAGCGUGGGGAGCAAACAGGAUUAGAUACCCUGGUAGUCCACGCCGUAAACGAUGAUAACUAGUUGUUCGGUCACUUGGUGUACUGAGUGACGCGAGACUACGACAUUAAGUUAUUCCGUCCGUCGGGUAGGUACGGUCGUCGAGAGUAAACGUAACAAAGUAGUAGUAGACGCGUGUAGAGUUGACGACGACGACGACGAGGAGGAGG